UACAGCUUAAAUGGUUGGUUUGGUUGUACAGCUGCCAAAGGGUUGGUGCCCUGAGGACCUCUGCUGUGGCUCCUUGGACUGGGGUCCAGGUGACGCAAGACAGCUGAUUUGGACCAGCACCGUCAUGGCGACUGCGGCAGAGUCCCUCCCUCCUGACAACCUGCCAUUGCCCUCUCAUCCCCAAGGAAAGGGGAAUUAUUCCCACCGACAACGAUGCCCAAGAUCUCCGGAAAACUUCUGACUAAUACAAACAUCACACAAACAGGAAGACGGCCUUUGACUUGUUUGCUGGAGGGCAUCUACUGGGAGCCUACUGUGUGCCUACUAAUGAUGCUUGCUCAGUGCCGGGGAAAGAAGAUGAGCUCACCAUGCUGCCUGCCUUCAUAAUUUUAGGAAAUGGACAAAGACAUCCACAAAUAACUGUAAGACAAGUGCUCUCACAGAGGGUCAUAGACAGUGCACUGGAAACACAGAUGAGCAAAUGUAAGGGAAAUGUGACCUUACAAGAUGAGUCCCCAGUCAAAUAAAGCAGGAGAGAGGAGGAGGACUGUAGGGGUUGGUUAUUUCUAGGCAAAGCGAACAAAGAAAUGAAGGGAGGUGUACCUAGGAAACCCAGGAGCAGCAUGUGUGUGGCAGGGCUAACGGAGAGGAAGGUAGGAUCAAGGAUGGAAAAGUAGGUUGCACUAAGCUUUGAGACGUCAUGCAAGAUAAGGAACAUUAAUCUGGACUCUUUAAUAAACUGAUGAUGAGGAAGCUAGCAGUUGAAGUGGUGUUUGCGAUUACUCCGUUCGCUGUAAAGCCUUUAAAUUUUAAAAUUAAAAGUUAUUCAUCUGUUCUACACACUCCA